UUACUCAGUGAGUGCAAGAGGUUUGUUUGAAACAGACCGCAAUGGAGAGAUCAGCGCCCAGGGAAGCGAGGGAACAGCAGGCUCCUUCCAGCAGCACAUCGGGAUGGGAGCCUGGGACACAAAGGGGGCUCCGAGACCCGGAUUGAUUCGGGGCAAGUACUCAAAGGACCAAGACAAUGUAAUAUUCCCUCGGUAUAGAGCCAAGUGUGACCAGCUGCUUCGAACAAACAGCAGAUAUGAAUUGACUCUCAACAUCACUUAUCACAGCUGAGGAUA